rnacentral:misc_RNA from 1 species
GUAACCAAUGGAUGUUUAAG